rnacentral:rRNA from 1 species
GCUUGCUUCUUUGCUGACGAGUGGCGGACGGGUGAGUAACGCGUGGGAAUCUACCUCGUAGUUGGGGAUAGCCCGGAGAAAUCCGGAUUAAUACCGAAUAAGAUCUACGGAUGAAAAGGUGCCUCUGCUUGCAAGCACUUGCUAUGAGAUGAGCCCGCGUUAGAUUAGUUAGUUGGUGGGGUAAAGGCCUACCAAGACGACGAUCUAUAGCUGGUUUGAGAGGAUGAUCAGCCACAUUGGGACUGAGACACGGCCCAGACUCCUACGGGAGGCAGCAGUGGGGAAUAUUGGACAAUGGGCGCAAGCCUGAUCCAGCAAUACCGCGUGUGUGAAGAAGGCCUUCGGGUUGUAAAGCACUUUUAUGUAGGAAGAAGGAUUGUAAGUUAAUAGCUUGCGAUUUUGACGGUACUACAGGAAUAAGCACCGGCUAACUCCGUGCCAGCAGCCGCGGUAAUACGGAGGGUGCGAGCGUUAAUCGGAAUUACUGGGCGUAAAGGGUACGUAGGCGGCUUGAUAAGUCAGAUGUGAAAUCCCCGGGCUUAACCUGGGAACUGCAUUUGAAACUGUCUGGCUAGAGUGAGUGAGAGGUUAGUGGAAUUCAAGGCGUAGCGGUGAAAUGCGUAGAGGUCUUGAGGAACAUCAGUGGCGAAGGCGACUAACUGGCACUACACUGAC